UGUGGCAGUUGGUUGAUCGCCGCGGAUCGCAUUGGAUCUACGGAGGAAAGUCCGGGCUUCAUGUAGGCGUGGCGCCGGAUAACGUCCGGCGUCGGGGAUCGCGAGGUCCUCGAUAGGGAAAGUGCAACAGAAAGUAUACCGCCUUGAUGUUUAUCAUUGAGGUAAGGGUGAAAUGGCGCAGGUAAGAGCUCACCGCGUAUGUGGCAACAGAUACGGCAUGGAAAACCCCGCCUGAAGCAAGACCAAAUAGGAGCGAUAUGAAUUGUAAAAUUCACGAUUGCCUACAAUCGAUCGCUCGGGUAGGUUGCUGGAGCUUACGGGUAACCGUAAGCCAAGAUGAAUGAUCAGCCAGAAUGGUAAUUCCAUUCGGACAGAACCCGGCUUAUAGACUGUCGCACACG
rnacentral:RNase_P_RNA from 1 species